UCGACAUGGCUUCAAUUGAAUUAUUGUGCUAGGUUAGCUGUCUUAGCUGACGUCAAGUGUGCUAGCUUUGUUUGCUAACAAGUUAAUAACUUCAACCAGAAGUCUUGGUCUUUUACAAACAUUUUUGUUUUCAAUAUUGCUGACGAAUUACCAAAGUAGGCAGAGGUUAAAUUAUGUUAACUUACCUUUAGCUUUUGAAGUCGAAAGGCACAGCUCUUGUACUUGCUUCAGUUCACAUCACUGGCAUGCAGCUCAAGCGACAUUUGAGAUGUGUUGGGUG